rnacentral:rRNA from 1 species
GGAGGAAACUCUGAUGCAGCAACGCCGCGUGGAGGAUGACGCAUUUCGGUGUGUAAACUCCUUUUAUAUGGGAAGAUAAUGACGGUACCAUAUGAAUAAGCACCGGCUAACUCCGUGCCAGCAGCCGCGGUAAUACGGAGGGUGCAAGCGUUACUCGGAAUCACUGGGCGUAAAGCGCGCGCAGGCGGCCAUUUAAGUUGGAUGUGAAAGCCUACGGCUCAACUGUAGAACUGCAUCCAAAACUAUUUGGCUAGAGUGUGGGAGAGGAAGAUGGAAUUAGUUGU